CUGCCCUGCCGUGUUCAGCCAGCAAACAGAUCUUCUAGUGAGUCACCUGCUGAGUGUUUCUAUUUAUUCCUACUAAAGCCUCAAAGAUCAGCAUAAAACAAAGAUCAACUUCAAGGCGCAAGUGGUUUUCUGGCUCUGAGCUGGCACUGUUGUAGAGAGAGAACUUUUCCGUCUCCAUAAACCGAAAUUCUUCUCUUCUGUUCACUUCACUUGUGAAUAAUGACCUGAAGGUCAAAAGACAUGAAGAAACAACUGGAGCUCAGUGACUUGCAGAAAGCUUAAACCAGGCUUCAAAGUCAAGUGUAACAACUCCUCAACCAGUGCUCUUCCCAGGAUGAUCAGGUGCUCAGUCAAGUCUAUCGAACCAUACUCUUCCCAACUGAUAUGAAAUUGAGUGCAGUGACACAGAACCAUGAAGAACCUUUCAGAAUUAAUGAAGAGUGU
rnacentral:lncRNA from 1 species